rnacentral:lncRNA from 1 species
CCUCCACACCUGUACUCGUAUGUAUCAAUAUCUUACAGAGCACAGUCCUAAAAAACUAAGAGCAAGGACUACGAUGCUGGAUCUGGAUAAGUUGAAACUCGAAGACACUAAGAUAGGGUAGAGGACGGAGAUAUAUCGUAUCAACGACAAGCUCCGCUUAUGGAGAGAAAAGCACGGGGACGCAGUUUAAUCAAGAUCAGACUCUCCGUACAGAGUAUGAGGAAGGAGGAUUCAGCUCAGAGGGUUAACAACAUGGAUUCCGUUUUAUGUUUAUUGUCGUACUCCGUAUAUAAUAUUGGGGGAGUCGGAGAAUUUGAUUGAGAACAAUCAAGGAUUGUUAGCAUUAUGCAGUAGUGCAGCCAUGUGCAAGUAAGUCCCUGGUGAGAUUGGGUACUCUGUCUUCAACCGAACAAAAACCGAGAGUCUGAAGGAUCGUAUUGUACCGAAAGAAUAUAUUUGGAACAAAAUACUCCGUACUA